ensembl:lncRNA
UUCUUUGAUGCUGGAGAAGAGUUGAGCUAAGAAAGAAGUCCUGAGAUGCUGCUACAGCAUGACUGAAUGAGAAGGAUCUGGGAACACAGAAUCCAGGAAGAGUUCCGUGCCAAGAGAUGAAGGAAGAGGAACAAGGAAGGGGAUGGUGGACGCCUCUCAUGGUCUCCUCCGCUUAUCUGGACACAUCUAAGCUAAGAAUGGUGUUUCGUAGUUUUAUUUGUCGCCUUAUUUCCUCGACAUGCGCUGCCAUUGACAUUCUCACCCACGCUGACAGACGUGCACAUACUUUCCUGCAGCUAUAUUUAUCUCUCCAAAUUAGUCUAUUGUUCCUCAGUGAGCUUCCCAUGCUCAGUACUGUAUGUACAGAGGAUAAAGAGAUGGGUGCUCAGCUUAUCUGAUAAAAUAAGUCUGGUCCAAUAAGACACAUGACAAACACUUCAUGGAUUGGCACCCUGUCCAGGGUGUACCCAGCCUUGUGCCCAAUGCUCCCUGGGGUAGGCUCCAGGUUUCCCCGUGACCCUGAAGGAAGGAUAAGCGGUAUAGAAGAUGGAUGGAUGGAUGGAUGGACAAACACUUCAUGAGCUGGCAUGUGCCAUAAACAUCUUCUUAUUGAUAUUGGUUUUGGAUUAAGAUAAAAGGGUUGCCUGUACAGGAAGUGACUACAGAAAAAAAGGACGAAAGGCUUGCACAUUCUUAAAGUUCAUACAAUUUUCUUAAGCAGUGAAGCGCCACAAGUCCAGCUGCAGUUCUUCCACUAGCCACACGAGGGCACUUGUCUGUUUUUAAUGCAUUUGAUCUCCUGAUGCUGAAAUCAACAGCCAUACCAGCACUACUAGAAAGCAUUAUAAUCAUCAGUACAGAAGCAUUUACAUAUUUUCUGUGAUCAAAAUGAACUCAAUUAUGAGAAGCUAUAAUCCAUAAGAAGACAUACACUUUGCAGUGUCUUACAGGUUGUUGUUGUGUUUCUGCACUGGUCCAGCACCAGACCAGGGGGAAAAACACAAGAUUUUUAAAUCAAUACAACAUUAACAGUAUCCACAUGUUACUGGAAACUUCAUGGCGUAAAAGCAACAUUUGGAAAUUAUACAUGUUGACAACAUGCAUCUGUGUGGGUUUUGUGUUUGUAAAACCAUGAGAAUUUAAAUGUUUGUAUUGAUUUUUUUUUUUAUUUUUUUACAGCUUCUCGUAUACAACAGUGGACAGAAUAUGA